ensembl:snRNA U2 U2 spliceosomal RNA
AUUGCUUGUCGGCCUUUUGGCUAAGAUCAAGUGUAGUAUCUGUUCUUAUCAGUUUAACACAGAAACAGCUUUACAAAAUUAGAAGCACUUCUUUGAAUUACUAAAUUUACAAACACUGAUAUUUGGGAAACACUAAUAUUCAAAUGUUAAAAGAUCAGGAAAUAUUU